rnacentral:lncRNA from 1 species
UCUCGCUGAGGGGGCGGGGCCUGCGGCCUGGUGCUUCCUCGGGCGCACGCCGGGUCGGUGAGCAGAGUCUGCGGCGGAGCUGGGCUCCCGGCCCUCCCCAGGCCCAGGCUGCCUCAGUUGCCCCACCAUCUUGCCAGGGCCCCGUAAGGACCCCUCCAGCAGCGCCCCUGUCACCCGCACACCUCUCCCUAUUGCUCUUCUGAGUGACACUCGCCCGAGGCCCCACAGAGGGGCCAAGCCAGACCCUAUGCGCAGGGCUGCUCCUCCAGCCUGUUUUGCCCACGCGAGCUCCCGCACCAGCGGCACCGUCCCCUCUGGGCUCAGCACUCUGCAGGCCCUGGGGCUCUGCCUAGAGCAGGUGCGGUCUGGCCAGUCCAGCGGAGAGAGGAGCUGAAGGAGGCCAGGAUGUCCAGGGCCAGGUGCGGGGCCAGAGCUGGUCACAGCGUGGCAGCGGAGGCCCUCGAAGCCCUGGUCCCCUGCCUCACGGUGACCAGCAAGCCCGAGGGCUCCACAGGCAGAAGGCGGACCCAGGAGGGCAGGGAAGCCCCGGGUGAGGAAGCGGAGAGGCCCGGGCCUGCGCGCUGGAGUGCCAGGGGCCACCCUGUCCGGGCAGGUGCGGUCCUCAGGGCCGCCUCCACCCCGCACUGGGCUGCCAGCCUGUCCUUCGCGCACUCCCACCGGACCCGUCCGUCCACCGGCCUCGGCCUUCUGAUCCGCUCCGCCCGCCCCGCUCUUGCCCCUUAGAGUCACAGCGAUCUAUCUGAGCUACGGCACCGGGCACAGGCGGAGCUGGAGGACUCGGGGCCUUCCCAUGGGGCGGGGGGCCGGGGACGGGGGAAGGCACCGGUGGGCCCUGGAACCAGCUCCCCUGGGAUCCUCCGCGCAGGUCCCCUCCCUCUCACUCCAGAGUCCUGAGGCCUCCUACUGUGAGGGAGGAGAACAGCCGGAUUCUCCUCCUGAAUCUGGGGGGGCGGGGGCUUGACCAGGACCCAGGAUCAGCCUGGAGAGAACUG